UUUAUAAUUUUACUUUCAAAUCCUCCUUCAAUAAAUUUUUCAUAUUUAAAUUCGUAAUAAAUAAUUUUAUUGUAAUUCAUUUCUUCUUAAAUAUAAGCUACACCUUGAUCUGAAAUAAAUUAAUAUAAUAAUUUAUGAAAAUGAUUAUUCUUUUAAAAUAUUCUGAUAACGACGGUAUAUAAACUGAAUACAAAUUUAAGUAAGGUCCAACGUGGAAUAUCGAUUAUAGAACAAAUUCCUCUGAAAAGACUAAAAUACCGCCAAAUUUUUUAAGUUUCAAGACCAUACCUAAUAC
rnacentral:rRNA from 1 species